rnacentral:rRNA from 1 species
CCUACGGGUGGCUGCAGUGGGGAAUAUUGGACAAUGGGGGCAACCCUGAUCCAGCCAUGCCGCGUGUGUGAAGAAGGCCCUCGGGUUGUAAAGCACUUUCAGUGAGGAAGAACGCCUGGUGGUUAAUACCCAUCAGGAAAGACAUCACUCACAGAAGAAGCACCGGCUAACUCCGUGCCAGCAGCCGCGGUAAUACGGAGGGUGCGAGCGUUAAUCGGAAUUACUGGGCGUAAAGCGCGCGUAGGUGGCUUGAUAAGCCGGUUGUGAAAGCCCCGGGCUCAACGUGGGAACGGCAUCCGGAACUGUCAAGCUAGAGUGCAGGAGAGGAAGGUAGAAUUCCCGGUGUAGCGGUGAAAUGCGUAGAGAUCGGGAGGAAUACCAGUGGCGAAGGCGGCCUUCUGGACUGACACUGACACUGAGGUGCGAAAGCGUGGGUAGCAAACAGGAUUAGAUACCCUGGUAGUC